rnacentral:rRNA from 1 species
AAUCUUCCGCAAUGGACGAAAGUCUGACGGAGCAACGCCGCGUGAGUGAUGAAGGUCUUCGGAUCGCAAAACUCUGUUGUUAGGGAAGAACAAGUAUCGUUCGAAUAGGGCGGUACCUUGACGGUACCUAACCAGAAUGCCACGGCUAAGUACGUGCCCGCAGCCGCUGUAAUACGUAGGUGGCAAACGUUAUCCGGAAGUAUUUGGCGGAAAGCGCGCGCAGGAGGUUGCUUAAGUCUGAUGUGAAAGCCCACGGCCCAACCGUGGAGGGUCAUUGGAAACUGGGAAGCUUGAGUGCAGAAGAGGAGAGUGGAAUUCCAUGUGUAGCGGUGAAAUGCGUAGAGAUAUGGAGGAACACCAGUGGCGAAGGCGACUCUCUGGUCUGCAACUGACGCUGAGGCGCGAAAGCGUGGGGAGCGAACA